AUGGUGCUGCUCCGGCUCUCCCGCCUGGCCACGGCCCAGCCCCGUCUACGUCUUCCCUCUCGGUCCUUCUGCUGGACACACGGGCCGUGGAGGGCCGAGGAGGCGCCAGGCAGGACACCAGGGAGGCAGAGCACGUCCUCCCCGAAGGCGGACGACCAAGGAACGCUGCGGGCUGACCUCUGCUUGGGCAAAGCCCGCUGGCUCUCCGGAUCACUGCAGGCGCCAGGCCAGGAAGGGAGUGAACAAGGCCCAACAGCGCAGACGCGGCCGCCCAGGCAGCCGCUGGCAGGCCUGGGUCAUGGAGGACCCGUCCGAGGGGGCCGCCGCUCACUCGGCCCAUUUCCAUCAAAAGCAGCACCGAGAAACGCCCGCAAAUCCGCGUCUGUCCACACCGGUGAGCGCCGAGGAGCCGCCGGAGUGCCUCUAUUAUGUGUCCAACCAGCCUGGAGGACGCGCCUCGCGGGGACAGGAAGCUGCUUGUUUUCACGCUCCGCUAACGCAGUGGCAGAUCGUAGCUCGACACAACGACAAGAGCAGCAGGGACCGUUUUUAAUGACUAAAACGGUUCUCUGGCUUCUCUCUGGCUUCUGUCGGGCACCAGGUGCCACCCGGGCGCGUGGCCCGAAGGCUCCCCGUGGGCUGCGUUCCUGGCCGCCACGCAGGACGAGGCUGGGGCCAGGCCAGGCUUCUGCUCUUCCCACCCCAAACGGAGGGGCGACCACGGAGCAGGCGACCCAGCACCCAGCAUGCACUGCAGCGUGUCUCAAGAAGGGCAUGCAGUCAUCCCUGCCUCCCUCCGAGGCCCCCAAGGCACGCCCACAACCGUCAGCUUCCAGCGCCCAAAACAAAGCUCCUUUUGCACCAAGACUCUGCCUGGAGCGGCAGCCAGAGAAGCGGGUCGUCGGCCCGGGAGCCCCCGUCUCCGGCCACGGCCCGACACGAGUCCUGCCACGACGACGGCCUGGAAGUCUAGUCCUGGAGCGCGUUUCAACCAUGCCACACGCAGAAGGCGGCCCUUUCCCUGCUCCAGGGGCCGCGCUUCCUGCACGGGUCUGCAGGCGGUCCCGGAUGAGCGCCGCAGCUCACGGCUUCGACCCCCGCAGGCCUCGAGGGCCACCGCAGGGCCGUCCGAUCGUCGGCGACGUGGGACAGGCUGGAAGCGGAGAACCAGGAAAGAGCUCAAAGAGGGCGUCGUGUCCUCUUCAAAAGGAGGGCCUCCAGGCUCGCACCGGUCCCUCGAGGGGAGACUCGCCGCCUCUCGCGGCGGGAACGUCUCCGGGAGCCUCCUCCAACCAGAGCUCUGCCCCGUGGCGGAAGCCGACGAGGCGCCGCCAGUGUGGCGAAUGCGGUCACGCGGCCUCGGCUUGUGGCCCGAAGCCCUCCUGCUCGGCCCCGCGAGGAAACGGAGAGCGACGCCAUCCCAAAGCCCGUCCUGGAGCCAGGAAAGGCCGAGGGAAGCCGCUGGCCUCUCGCCGACACAGCCCGGGCUUCUCUCACCAGAAGAGGGUGACAGACGACAGGAGGCUCUGA
rnacentral:lncRNA from 1 species